rnacentral:rRNA from 1 species
GAUCAACGCUGGCGGCGUGCCUAACACAUGCAAGUCGAACGAAGUUUCUCCUUCGGGGGAAACUUAGUGGCGGCCGGGUGCGUAACGCGUGGGUAACCUGCCCUGUCCAGGGGGACAACAGCUGUAACCGGCUGCUAAUACCGCUAAAGCCCUUAGCACUGCAUGGUGCAUAGCGAAAGGGAGCAAUCCGGUUCAGGAUGGACCCGCGUCUGAGCAGCCUGCUGGCAAGGUAACGGAUUACCAAGGCGACGCAGCGCAGCGGAUCUGAGAGGAUGUACGGCCACACUGGAACUGAGACACGGUGCAGACUCCUACGGGAGGCAGCAGUAGGGAAUAUUCGGCAAUGGGCGAAAGCCGGACGGAGCAAUGCAGCGUGAGUGAUGAAGGUCUUCGGGUCGUAAAACUCUGUUAUUAGGGAAGAAAAUAUGUGGAAGUAACUGUGGCCAUCUUGACGGUACCUAAUCAGAAAGCAACGGCUAACUACGUG